GCUGUGAGGGCUCCAGAGAGGCCAAGGCAAGGGAGACUGAGGAGAAGCAAAACCAGAAAACUUCCUUUGCUGCCUUUAUGGAUGGUAAAGUGUAAAGUAGCUCAGUCAGCAAACCCACAGGAGCACCCUGAAACAAGAGAAUACAAGAUUUGGGGAAAUUUGAUGAGGUUCAUUUCCUGAACUUUCCGUGCCUAGAAGAGUAAAGGAGGAUACAUCACAAGCAGUGCACAGGUCAAUGACUUGAAGCAACUGGGUAGACGAACAUGAGGGACAUACUUUUGGGUAAAAUGUGUUCCACUGCGUAGUCUAACAUUUGGCCAGUUUCCAACAGGAUUAAGAAAAAGAUCAUCUUUGUUAUUGUCCUGCUGCUUCUCCUGGGUGAUGGGAAUAUUUAUUUUAGCAGCAAACUUUCUUCCAAGCAGGUUAUCAUUUAUCAGACUUCACCAAUCAGUGGAGAGUGACUCUUGGAAGAGCUAGAACUUUCAGACUGUUUUCAAACCAUUUCAUCUAAAGCCAAACAUCACUGAAAAUAAUACAUCUUUAACCCCAGUAAACGAGCCAAACUUGUGUGUGUUCAGUGCCCUUGAAAUGACUACUUGAGUGUUUAAGGACCACCCACCUGGUUGUACAACAUGGAAAGAGUGAGAAAAAGGCUAAUUGUGCACUUAAAACACCAUGUGGUGGCUAAUAUAUUUCCUUAAGGGAGCAUAGAGUGCUGCAAUUGAAAAUUAUUUCUGACUUACAAGAAUGAAAACAACUUGCCUAGGAUUCAAACAUAGUUCGCAGUAAAAAUGUGUUUGAUAGAAAUACAGCAGGAAGAAGAAAACAACUCUGUUGUUUUGCCCCCUCAAGCAAAAAAAAAAAAAAAAAUCAAUUUGCUUCUAUGCUAAUUGAGGAGAGACAUCAGCAAUCAAGCAGCACUGUUUUUAUUGUGUAUUUUUAACUGCAAGGAAAAACACAGAUAAAUAAUACAGCUUCAUUCUAUCUCAACAUAUUUUCCAUCGUGUUUACAAAAUGACUGAUGAAACCAGAUGUCACCAAACCAUAUUCUCUAAUUGUUCACAUUAUAUAAAUAUAUGUGUGUAUGUGUGUGUGCUUUUGUAGCUUUUUUCAAGUAAAAU
rnacentral:lncRNA from 1 species